AGUGAACGCUGGCGGUAUGCCUAACACAUGCAAGUCGAACGGCAGCACAGUAAGAGCUUGCUCUUACGGGUGGCGAGUGGCGGACGGGUCAGGUAUGCAUCGUACUCUACUUUUUCGUGGGGGUUCACGUAGGGAAACUUACGCUCAUACCGCAUCCGACCUACGGUUGGAAGCGGUGGAUCUUCGGACCUUUCGCGGUUGAAUUAGCCGAUGUCGGAUUAGCUAGUUGGCGGGGUAAUGGCCUACCAAGUCGCGGAUCCGUAGCUGGUCUGAGAGGAGGAUAAGCCACACUGGAACUGAGACAGGGUCAAGAGUCCUAAGGGAGGCAGCAGUGGGGAAUAUGAGACAAUGGGCGGAAGCAUGAUACAGUCAGAGCGCGUGGGAGAAAAAGGCCUUCGGGUUGUAAAGCCCGUUUGUUGGGAAAGAAAAGCAGUAGGUUAAUACCACGCGGUACUGACGGUACCGAAAGAAGAAGCACCGGCUAACUUCGUG
rnacentral:rRNA from 1 species